UAUAAUAAGCUCGCAAUACAUGUCACUUAUUUUAUUAGGUGGUAGUACCAAUAAGAAUAGUAGUAAGCUGCAUCUAUUGUUUUCACACCUUAGAAUUUCUCUAUGAACGGAAACAUCUGUAAUACCUGCACUGAGAAAAAUCCCACUAACAAAUUCAUGCCCUGAAGCUGAGUUUCUGCUAAACAGUUUAUUUAAUGCUUUUAUUAAAACCAAAACAGAAAUCAGGACAAGGACAUCUCCUCUGCCAAUUCCUUUUGGAAAAAAAUUAUUAUCCUUUAAAUUGCUUCUAGAAGGCCUGACUGAACAGGGAGAUUGUCACUCUCAGUUUGGUUGACUAAUCCAUCAAAAAGAGAAAGACUUUUCUAAAAAAUGUGAUAAAAGAUCUCUAGUGAAACGCUGGUCUAACUUUCAUCCAUUCCUAAAACACUUAGAUUGGGUGUUGGGCUACUGGGUGUUGACCAUGCCUAGAUGUGAUGUUCACCAGUUCUAGAGGUCAUACAGAGCAGCCUUGGCCAUAUCCUAUAUGGUAAGUAGUACAAAUAAAUGAUUAGUGAAGCAUCCA
rnacentral:lncRNA from 1 species